UGAGGAGAGCUACAUCAAGUUUUGACUUGGAGUGAUAAUGUUGCACCUCUACUCAUAUUGGGCAAUUACUACCUUGAUGUUCUCUGCAGCGUAGGAGGUCAGUAUUGUGGCACUAAUACAUAUGAACUGGAGAGGACUUCUUUCUGGACAUAGCUAUCUGUGCACACAGUCCCUGAGCAAAGGGACAAGUUUUUGUUUGGAGCCAUAGCCUUAGGAAUCUUGUAGGAAAAAUUGUUUGUAAUGUACUUAAUGCAAAAAUGGCCAUCUCAAAUACCAUCUACCACGGUUGAGACCGACUGGAUACUGAUAUUAUUGUUGAACAAAACCAAGGCCAGAAAACCCAUCUUAUCCUGUAGGAAUGGCUUCUCUCUCGAUGCUUCAAGAACCUCUAUAACAUAAUCAGAACUGUUUCAGACCAGCGAGGCUUCAUAUAUAUUCUGUUCCAAGUAUUUUAUGUUAGAGGAUUAGGAACAAUACAUCGGAAAUUCAAAUAUUUUAAUACAAAGUGUGAACAAGAUGCUCUUGGGGUUCAAUAUUUUAUGCCACAAGUACUUCUUCAAACCCAAUGAAGUUGGAUCAUUUAUGCUUAUGGAGACUACAUUAUUUGAUAUGAAGCUUUAGAUGCCUGCCAUGUGUAAACUUUUUCGACUAUUUUUUGCGCCAUUAUCACCUCCAGAGUUGAUUUUCUCGCACUCUAUUGAUACCAUAAUCUCUGGGUCGUUGGAGCUUCAUGACAACAUAGAGGAACUCAGCUUAUAUCAUUCAAUAGCGUGCGGAGGUCCCAGAAAAGGCAUCACAAGAUCCUCGGAGAUGUUUCUUUUUGAAUCCUAGCACUUUAAUACAGCUUCAUAGACAAGGAUUCUCUAAUAGCAAGACAGUCGAGACAGAUAACUGUCGCUGUAGAAUUUCUGCUUAUGAUGACAUUCAAUAUUUUCUUACCUUAGUUCAGUUGAAUUA